rnacentral:rRNA from 1 species
CACGUAGGGUGCGAGCGUUGUCCGGAAUUAUUGGGCGUAAAGAGCUCGUAGGCGGUGCGUCGCGUCGGCCGUGAAAACCUGCAGCUUAACUGUGGGCUUGCGGUCGAUACGGGCAUCACUGGAGUUCGGCAGGGGAGACUGGAAUUCCUGGUGUAGCGGUGAAAUGCGCAGAUAUCAGGAGGAACACCGGUGGCGAAGGCGGGUCUCUGGGCCGAUACUGACGCUGAGGAGCGAAAGCGUGGGGAGCGAACAGG